CUGAGCUGUUACAACAUGUCUAAAACUCGACGGGGCUCAUGAAGCACACGCAGGCGAACCUUCUUCCUUUCUUCUGCCCACAGAGAAGCUCAGCUAUGUAAAAGCCACUGGAGUCAUGGUUUCAAGAAAAGAAAAUGGUUUGUGUUUUUCUUAUCAUGGUGGAAGGGAGACACACACGGCUUAACAGUUAACAGCAAGAAGGAGCCUUUCAAAGACUUCCCCCUCCUCCCCCAGCUAAUUUCAGGGGACUCUGUUCCAGUGGGCAUUGAACAUAUACUGGUGGGCUGCCGUCUACGGGACACGACUGAAGCGACUCAGCAGCAGCAGCACAUCCAGCAAACAGGUUCCUGCUUUCAGGUUCACUAAUUCCUCCUCCUACGUAGAUUCAUAGAUAAUAUCCAUAAGAUCUGGAAACUAAAGAGCAAAUUGAGAACAGCACUUGGUAGAGUGGAGACCAGGAAGCUAAAACUGGAAAAUGCCCCACAGAUGAUUCCAACGCCAACAGAAAGGGCUUCCCAGGUGGCUCAGUGGUAAAGAAUCUGCCUGCCAAUGCAGGAG
ensembl:lncRNA